GACGAACGCUGGCGGCGUGCCUAAUACAUGCAAGUAGAACGCACAGGAUGCACCGUAGUUUACUACACCGUAUUCUGUGAGUUGCGAACGGGUGAGUAACGCGUAGGUAACCUGCCUGGUAGCGGGGGAUAACUAUUGGAAACGAUAGCUAAUACCGCAUAAGAACAUUUACUGCAUGGUAGAUGUUUAAAAGGUGCAAGAGCAUCACUACCAGAUGGACCUGCGUUGUAUUAGCUAGUUGGUGAGGUAACGGCUCACCAAGGCAACGAUACAUAGCCGACCUGAGAGGGUGAUCGGCCACACUGGGACUGAGACACGGCCCAGACUCCUACGGGAGGCAGCAGUAGGGAAUCUUCGGCAAUGGGGGAAACCCUGACCGAGCAACGCCGCGUGAGUGAAGAAGGUUUUCGGAUCGUAAAGCUCUGUUGUUAAGGAAGAACGUGUGUGAGAGUGGAAAGUUCACACAGUGACGGUACUUAACCAGAAAGGGACGGCUAACUACGUGCCAGCAGCCGCGGUAAUACGUAGGUCUCGAGCGUUGUCCGGAUUUAUUGGGCGUAAAGCGAGCGCAGGCGGUUAGAUAAGUCUGAAGUGAAAGGCAGUGGCUCAACCAUUGUAGGCUUUGGAAACUGUUUAACUUGAGUGCAGAAGGGGAGAGUGGGAAUUCCAUGUGUAGCGGUGAAAUGCGUAGAUAAUGGAGGAACACCGGUGGCGAAAGCGGCUCUCGGGUCUGUAACUGACCUGAGGACUCAGCGCGGGGAGGGAAAGGAAUUUAUACUCUUUUAUUC
rnacentral:rRNA from 1 species